GGCAACUUUGAUGAACUGGCAAUGAACAAAGGAAGUUAGCUGGUACACAUGUGUUUGGCUAUCAGUGGACAUGAACAACGAAGUCAGGUACCGCUGAGCUGCCGCACAGUUGUGGAUUCACGUCAAGGAUGCUGUAGGAGGCUCCCACAGUUUGUCUCGCUAUAUGCUGUUUUGCACGAUGCCUCAUUUUCCCUGAAUCUCUACAAUGGAAGUGUUUCAGGUCCAUUACUAUGACUUUCUGUCAGCAUCUGAGUCCAGCUUUGAAUUCACUGCAAACUGUUGAAAUGAUGUCACCACCCACAGUCUCGCUGAGUUAAUUUGACAGUGCUGAAUGGAGAGAACAUAAGCUCAACUGUG